UACGUAGGGGGGCAAGCGUUGUCCGGAUUUAUUGGGCGUAAAGAGCUCGUAGGCGGUUCGUCGCGUCGGCUGUGAAAUCCCGAGGCUCAACCUCGGGUCUGCAGUCGAUACGGGCGGACUGGAGUUCGGCAGGGGAGACUGGAAUUCCUGGUGUAGCGGUGAAAUGCGCAGAUAUCAGGAGGAACACCGGUGGCGAAGGCGGGUCUCUGGGCCGAUACUGACGCUGAGGAGCGAAAGCGUGGGGAGCGAACAGG
rnacentral:rRNA from 1 species